UACGUAGGCAGCGAGCGUUGUUCGGAAUUACUGGGCGUAAAGAGUGUGUAGGCGGUGCUCUAAGUUCGGUGUGAAAUCUCCUGGCUCAACUGGGAGGGUGCGCCGGAAACUGGAGUGCUUGAGCGUGGGAGAGGAAAGCGGAAUUCCUGGUGUAGCGGUGAAAUGCGCAGAUAUCGGGAAGAACACCCGUGGCGAAGGCGGCUCUCUGGGACGGUACUGACGCUGAGACGCGAAAGCGUGGGGAGCGAACAGG
rnacentral:rRNA from 1 species